rnacentral:rRNA from 1 species
UACGGGGGGAGCAAGCGUUGUUCGGAUUUACUGGGCGUAAAGGGCGCGUAGGCGGUCAGCACAAGUCAGUUGUGAAAUCUCCGGGCUUAACUCGGAAAGGUCAACUGAUACUGUGCGACUAGAGUGCAGAAGGGGCAACUGGAAUUCUCGGUGUAGCGGUGAAAUGCGUAGAUAUCGAGAGGAACACCUGCGGCGAAGGCGGGUUGCGGGGCUGACACUGACGCUGAUGCGCGAAAGCCAGGGGAGCGAACAGG